UCUUCUUUUUCUUUUUUUUAUCAAUGAGUUGAAGGUUGAUAAGUUAGCAUUGAUUAGGGAGACUCAACCUUCCUUGAUUCAAAUCAAAUUCAUCUUGAUCAAUUGAUCAAGUGAAUGGCUUUGCAUUAAGGAUAGGUUGUUUCCUAAAUUAUGCAGAAGACUUAAACCAAUACAAGAUCAAUUCUCUUUUUCUUUUUUGGCAUGGCAAGUUGUUGGAACUUGG
rnacentral:lncRNA from 1 species